rnacentral:rRNA from 1 species
UACGGGGGGGGCAAGCGUUGUUCGGAAUUAUUGGGCGUAAAGGGCGUGUAGGCGGCUUGGCAAGUCUGCUGUGAAAACUCGAGGCUCAACCUCGAGCUGUCGGUGGAAACUGCUUGGCUAGAGUCCGGAAGAGGAGAGUGGAAUUCCUGGUGUAGCGGUGAAAUGCGCAGAUAUCAGGAAGAACACCUAUGGCGAAGGCAGCUCUCUGGGACGGUACUGACGCUGAGACGCGAAAGCGUGGGGAGCGAACAGG